UAUUCGAGUUCAGUAUAUCGCGAGCUUUCGUAGGCAUGGUCCGUGUCUCCUGCACGUAGACACUCGAUCGCGUAUUUACGUUCGCUGUCAUUCAACCUUUAAUCCAAUAAAAAUGGCCAGUGACCCGAUAAAACGUUGAUAAUGGGAUGAUCUUGUGAUUAGUAACGAGUAUGUGGUUAGUUUUCCAUUUAUAAAGUUAUCAGUGGAAAAUGCUGUCGUCGGGGGAUGUGAUUUUGGAAAAAUGCUGAAGGGCUGGAUCGCGAGAUGUUCGCACGUUGGUUUGUUGUGGUCACUUUUCUGGGUGUGCAAUGUAGACGGGCUUAUAGAAAUCGUGGAGGAGCAACGAUGCCACGAUUACAGAUUCCGUUUGACGUGCCGCGACCUAGACACGCACAUAGCUAUACUGGAGGCGUGGUAUACGACGCUGGAAGACUACUACGACACAAACACUACACAUGCGAGUUUAAAAUUAAAAACUGAGAACGAUUCCGAAUUGAAUCGAGUCUAUAUAUAUUCUAGUCCGAAACACAACGGUAUUUAUGAGCCGGCAAACCAUUCCAUAUUUGAAAAUAUUUCCAAUAGUUCACUAGAUUACAACGAAUCGAGUUCAGUUAACGAUUCAUUAACAAACGAUUUGGAUGUGACAGUUGAUUAUGUGAAUAAUAGUGAGUGUGGUGCUGUGACGUUUGCUAGAAGCUACGGGAGUUCGAGGGAGGGGGAUAAGAGACGAGUAGUUGUGGAGAGAAGCUCUUCUAGAAAUUUGAGGGCGCCACUGAGCUAUCGCUGUACGGGCAUAAACCAUUGCAGUUUUGUGCUGGCACAAGAUUAUGCACCAGCUGUGAGCUGGCCGCCCGGCGUUGUCUACAUAAAGUACGCGUGUUUCGAUGAUACCCUCUCGAUACAUUACUGCAACAGAGAGGUGCAGGUUGCAGUAUCGGGGGCUGACAGCGAAGGUUACAUGCGGACACCGGGUUAUCCACAUUUCUACGUCGGGGAGGAGUGUCACUGGCGGAUACGGGUUAACCCUGAGCAACGAAUCCGUCUUACACUAUUAGACGUUAGUUUACGAACAAUUGGCCCAUUCGAAGAGUCGUGUACGGAUUUCAUUGCGGUCGAAGAUUCGAACGGCGAGUCGAUGUUUACGUCUUGCGAUCAGGUGGAACUGCCUCUGAAGCUGCUGUCUACCACCGAUACAGUGGAUGUUACGGUCCAGGUCAAAUCUGAGGGCGCUUACCCAAAGAGAGGCGUUCUUCUUCAUUACAAGAGUAUAGGUUGUGUCACACUACCAGAGCCCUCUGAAGGAUAUUUGGUGUACCGCAACAGCGAUGUAGCUCACUACAUGUGCAAUGUGAAUUACGUUUUCUCCGAUACACGUCAGAGGGCGAGAUUAUUAUGGUGCUAUGAUGACAACAGAUGGAAUGACACUGUGCCUUUGUGUGUUGUAGAGGCGGCUCUAACGGCCGUCGGGAACAAUUCAGAUUCAGGAGGUGACGAGAAAGAUACGAAACUGCCGCCACACGACGAACCCAACAUGAUGGUUGACAUCGUCAUACCAUCACUCCUAAUAGCGGCGCUGUUCAUCGGUAACGCGUUCAUCGUACUUAUCAUAUAUAAGUACAGGAAACGAUUGCCGGUCGACUAACCAUUGCUACUUCGUAAAAGCAAUAAAGAAAAUCAAGCCGAUGAAUACUUAUAGCAAAAAACGAAGAGAUUGACGAUGAGUUCAACACCAUUCCACUGAGCGUCAACGGCAAUGUUCACAGUGCAGGAAACGCAGUUUAGUCAAUAAUAAUAAGUUCGUGGAGAUUACACGAUGAGGAAAUGGUUUGACUUUUUGAUUUUUAUGUACAUUGUUAUCAUUUACAUUAAUAAAUCGUAUAAUGGAUAUACAAUUUUAAGAGCAAUCAUACAGAAGUAUGGUAACGUGUGAUCUAAAACAUUAAACAAUUUUUAAUGUCUUUAAAUGAUUAUUUAAAAACUGUUUUAUUAGCAAAUAAUAAGAUUAUCUUUAAACUGUCAUUGAAAUUUGGAUUUUGCUUAUAAAAAAUAUUUAUUGGCUUCAAUAUUAAAUGAUGGAUAAAUCCAAAAUAUUCUGAGACAAAUUUGUUAUGUAUAGUUAAACAAAAAUUAAUUAUUACAGUCAUUUUUAAACAAUAAUUAAUUGAAAGAAUAAAAAUAAUGUUUGAAUCGUAGUUAAUAUAAUUCAAACAUUAGCAGAAUUUUUAUAAAUGCUCUUAAAUUAUAUCAAUUUCUUUAUCAAAGACAAUAAUAAUAUUUCGUUUAUAUUACGUGUUAACUAAAUGUGCAAUUAUACGUGGAAAGUUACCAGACUUUAUUUUAAUUUUUAUAAUUUUCAUUAGAUGAUGUUACUACAAGUUUCUUUCGUGUGUAAUCUCCACGAUUAAAAAAAAAAAACAUUGGGCAACUGUCAGACCAAUCGCGCGACGAUUAGACGCGUUGUCGGUUUGAUAGCAGCCUUAGGCCUUAAGUUACCCUAUUUAUUUGUUAUUAGACUUCUAGACACGACAUAGUCCAGUGACAUCUUCAAUCUAGACCCCUUAGCGAUUAAGUAAGGACUGAUAACGAUAUAAAUACUCGGUUAAAGUAGUUGACUUUUUUUUCAUCGCACGUCUGUCACUGCCUUCCUUUGUCACCAGUACGUCAAUUAUGUACGAAUUGUUACCGCUUCUAGAUGGUACGACAAUGAAUAUUACGCUAUAGGUAUCCAAUUAUUUCAUUUUGUCUCUAAAUUGUUGAUGUUUUUGUAUGUAUUUGACGGAGUCUGUAUAAAUUCUGUAACGAAUAAAAAGCACUUUAUCUUUA